CCUACGGGAGGCAGCAGUGAGGAAUUUUGCGCAAUGGGGGAAACCCUGACGCAGCAACGCCGCGUGAGUGAUGAAGGCCUUCGGGUCGUAAAGCUCUGUCAAGUGGGAAGAACCUGCUCUGUGAUAACACCACGGGGCACCGACGGUACCACUGAAGGAAGCACCGGCUAACUCCGUGCCAGCAGCCGCGGUAAUACGGGGGGUGCUAGCGUUAUUCGGAAUCAUUGGGCGUAAAGGGCGCGUAGGCGGUCUUUUAAGUCAGAUGUGAAAGCCCUCGGCUUAACCGAGGAAGUGCAUUUGAUACUAAGAGACUUGAGUAUGGGAGAGGGAAGCGGAAUUCCUGGUGUAGCGGUGAAAUGCGUAGAUAUCAGGAGGAACACCGGUGGCGAAGGCGGCUUCCUGGACCAAUACUGACGCUGAGGCGCGAAGGCGUGGGGAGCAAACAGGAUUAGAUACCCUGGUAGUCCACGCAGUAAACGGUGAACACUAGGUGUAGCGGGUAUUGACCCCUGCUGUGCCGAAGCUAACGCAUUAAGUGUUCCGCCUGGGAAGUACGGCCGCAGGGUUAAAACUUAAAGGAAUUGACGG
rnacentral:rRNA from 1 species